CAAAAUGAAGACAGAAAAAGGAUGACUGAAGUUUCACUCCCAGCUGGGAAAAAAAUCCGCUAUAUCUUCCUCUAUAAUUUGCAUUUCAUUAUGGUGAUAGAGCAAUUUAAAUAUUCAGACUUUGUUAGCACGCGCCUUAGCUUGUUUAAAGUUUUAAUUGGUGCGGCUUUUGUGCAAGGCGAUAUCAGUAACCUCUCCCUCUUUCCCUCGAUUUCCAU